CCUACGGGGCGCUGCAGUGGGGAAUAUUGGACAAUGGGCGAAAGCCUGAUCCAGCCAUGCCGCGUGUGUGAAGAAGGCCUUCGGGUUGUAAAGCACUUUCAGUGGGGAAGAAAGCCUUGGGGCUAAUACCCUCGAGGAAGGACAUCACCCACAGAAGAAGCACCGGCUAACUCCGUGCCAGCAGCCGCGGUGAUACGGAGGGUGCGAGCGUUAAUCGGAAUUACUGGGCGUAAAGCGCGCGUAGGCGGUCUGAUAAGCCGGUUGUGAAAGCCCCGGGCUCAACCUGGGAACGGCAGCCGGAACUGUCAGGCUAGAGUGCAGGAGAGGAAGGUAGAAUUCCCGGUGUAGCGGUGAAAUGCGUAGAGAUCGGGAGGAAUACCAGUGGCGAAGGCGGCCUUCUGGACUGACACUGACGCUGAGGUGCGAAAGCGUGGGUAGCAAACAGGAUUAGAUACCCCAGUAGUC
rnacentral:rRNA from 1 species